rnacentral:rRNA from 1 species
AGCUAAUACUUGCUUUAGCACUCUUGAUUUAUUUCUUGAGUGUGUACUUGUUAAGCCUUAUAAGAAAAGAGUUAUUAACUUAAGGAAUUAUAACAAAGAAGUAACACGUAAUGAAUCAUUCCAUUUUUAGUGUGUAUCAAUCGAGUUUCUGACCUAUCAGCUUUUGAUGUUAGGGUAUUGGCCUAACAUGGCUAUGACGGGUAACGGGGAAUUAGAGUUCGAUUCCGGAGAGGGAGCCUGAGAAAUAGCUACCACAUCUAAGGAAGGCAGCAGGCGCGUAAAUUACCCAAUUCUAAAGAAGAGAGGUAGUGACAAGAAAUAACAAUACAAGGCCAAUCUGGCUUUGUAAUUGGAAUGAUGGGAAUUUAAAACCUUCCCAAAAUUCAAUUGGAGGGCAAGUCUGGUGCCAGCAGCCGCGGUAAUUCCAGCUCCAAUAGCGUAUAUUAAAAUUGUUGCAGUUAAAACGCUCGUAGUUGAAUUUCAAAGAAUCGAUAUUUUAAGUAACGCUUCUAGCUACAAAUCCACAUAACUGAUGCCUCCGCGUAUCGACUUUGUGCGCAUUUUAGCUAUUAUGUGUUCUUUUAAUUAAAAUGAUUCUUUUUAAGAUUCAUCUAUUAAAAAUUUGCUUCGGCAUAAUUUUUUUUGAUGAUCUUGUUACUUUGAGUAAAUUAGAGUGUUCAAAGCAAACUGAUAUAGCAUUUGUGCGUUUGAAUACUACAGCAUGGAAUAACAAAAUUGAACAAGUCAGAAUUUUUUUGUUCUUUUUUCUUAUUUUGGCUUAGUUACGAUUAAUAGGAGUAGCUUGGGGGCAUUUGUAUUCAGAUGUCAGAGGUGAAAUUCUUAGAUUUUCUGGAGACAAACAACUGCGAAAGCAUUUGCCUAAAAUACUUCCAUUAAUCAAGAACGAAAGUUAAGGGAGUGAAGACGAUCAGAUACCGUCGUAAUCUUAACCAUAAACUAUGCCGACUAGGCUUUGGAUGAAAGAUUUUAAAAUAAGAGUUUU